rnacentral:rRNA from 1 species
AUUGAACGCUGGCGGCAUGCCUUACACAUGCAAGUCGAACGGUAACGGGCCUUCGGGUGCCGACGAGUGGCGAACGGGUGAGUAAUACAUCGGAACGUGCCCGAUCGUGGGGGAUAACGAGGCGAAGGCUUUGCUAAUACCGCAUACGAUCUACGGAUGAAAGCAGGGGACCGCAAGGCCUUGCGCGGACGGAGCGGCCGAUGGCAGAUUAGGUAGUUGGUGGGAUAAAAGCUUACCAAGCCGACGAUCUGUAGCUGGUCUGAGAGGAUGAUCAGCCACACUGGGACUGAGACACGGCCCAGACUCCUACGGGAGGCAGCAGUGGGGAAUUUUGGACAAAGGGCGCAAGCCUGAUCCAGCCAUGCCGCGUGCAGGAUGAAGGCCUUCGGGUUGUAAACUGCUUUUGUACGGAACGAAAAGCCUUCUUUUAAUACAGGAGGGUCAUGACGGUACCGUAAGAAUAAGCACCGGCUAACUACGUG